AUGAAUUCCAAAGAGGAAAGUGGCGGACGGGCGAGUAACGCGUGAGUAACCUGCCCAUAAGAGGGGGAUAAUCCAUGGAAACGUGGACUAAUACCGCAUAUUGUAGUUAAGUUGCAUGACUUGAUUAUGAAAGAUUUAUCGCUUAUGGAUGGACUCGCGUCAGAUUAGAUAGUUGGUGAGGUAACGGCUCACCAAGUCAACGAUCUGUAGCCGAACUGAGAGGUUGAUCGGCCGCAUUGGGACUGAGACACGGCCCAGACUCC
rnacentral:rRNA from 1 species